AGGUGAUAAGGCUCUGGAAUAAGACA
rnacentral:piRNA from 1 species